GGUUUGUUGUUGUUUAUGACAAAUUUGGCCUGCUCAGUGUUUAUAUAAAUAGCCGCGGUAACUUGACUGUGCAAAGGUAGCAUAAUCAUUAGUCUUUUAAUUGGGGGCUGGAAUGAAGGGUUUGACGGGGAAAUACUGUCUUAUGUUUGGUUAUUUUUAGAAUUUUAGUUUGCUGUGAGGGCGCGGUGAUGAUUUUAUUUGACGAGAAGACCCCGUAAAGCUUUAUUCUUAUUUUUUGUUUUAGGUUAAGCAGAAUUUUGUUGGGGCAACAGAUUUGAUUAUUGAAUGGUUCUUAUUUGUUAAAUGUUUUUUUAGCUUUUUGUUUGAUCCUUUAUUUUGGGAUAUUGAGAUAAGCUACUUUGGGGAUAACAGCAUAAUUAUUUUGGAGAGUACUUAUUGAUAAAGUAGUUUGUGACCUCGAUGUUGAAUUAAGAUUCCUGGUGGCUGUAG
rnacentral:rRNA from 1 species